rnacentral:rRNA from 1 species
AGUGAAGCGGCAACAGCUCAAAUUUGAAAUCUGGGUCUUUCAGGCUCCGAGUUGUAAUUUGUAGAAGAUGCUUCGGGUGUGGCUCCGGUCUAAGUUCCUUGGAACAGGACGUCAUAGAGGGUGAGAAUCCCGUAUGUGACUGGUUGCCUUCGCUCAUGUGAAGCUCUUUCGACGAGUCGAGUUGUUUGGGAAUGCAGCUCAAAAUGGGUGGUAAAUUUCAUCUAAAGCUAAAUAUUGGCCAGAGACCGAUAGCGCACAAGUAGAGUGAUCGAAAGAUGAAAAGCACUUUGGAAAGAGAGUUAAACAGUACGUGAAAUUGUUGAAAGGGAAGCGCUUGCAACCAGACUUGCACGUUGCCGAUCAUCCGGGGUUCUCUCCGGUGCACUCGGUUGCGUUCAGGCCAGCAUCGGUUUGGGUGGUUGGAUAAAGGCCUUGGGAAUGUAGCUUCUUUCGGGGAGUGUUAUAGCCCUCGGUGCAAUGCAGCCUACCCGGACCGAGGACCGCGCUUCGGCUAGGAUGCUGGCGUAAUGGUUGUAAGCGACCCGUCUUGAAACACGGACCAAGGAGUCUAACAUCUAUGCGAGUGUUUGGGUGUCAAACCCAUACGCGUAAUGAAAGUGAACGGAGGUGAGAACCCUUAAGGGUGCAUCAUCGACCGAUCCUGAUGUCUUCGGAUGGAUUUGAGUAAGAGCAUAGCUGUUGGGACCCGAAAGAUGGUGAUCUAUACUUGAAUAGGGUGAAGCCAGAGGAAACUCUGGUGGAGGCUCGCAGCGGUUCUGACGUGCAAAUCGAUCGUCAAAUUUGAGUAUAGGGGCGAAAGACUAAUCGAACCAUCUAGUA